UCAUUUAAGAGAAGACUUUGAAUUUGAAUGAAAUUUCAUUAGAGUUUAUUCUCUCAAGUUUUAUGUUUUUUCUUUGUAUUCUUGUAUUUAGAAUGCAUGUAUUAAAACUUUCAAUCUAGUUUAAUCAAUUAGAUCGUGGAGAGUUCAAAAUCUUGAAGUUAGGAAUAAGUUCUCCUUUCUUCUUGAUCAUUGAUUAAUCUUCCAAACCAAAUCUGUUUAACUUCUUGGAGUUGUUAUCAUUUUGUUUAUUAGGAGUUAUUCUCAUUAUCGUUGUGGGGUUCUCAUACGUGAUUGAGGUCUUGCACAAACCUAUUAAAGUGGUGAAGCUACCAAGCAAGUGAUUGACGUUUGGUUAGCGAUAAAACUUGUUGUAAUGUAGUUACUCGUGACAAUACCUUGUUAUAUUUAGUUUCUUUGUAAAAAAUUUAUCAAAUUUGGUUUUUAGUUUGUGUGUUUGUCCCAUGGAGGAUAUUUGAUAGUUCAUUUUAUUUAGUUUCUUUAUAAAAGGUUAUCAACUUUAUUCUUAUAUAUAAAAGUUCUUAUUUAUGUUUGUGUCAA